rnacentral:misc_RNA from 1 species
AAGUCGUAACAAGGUUUCCGUAGGUGAACCUGCGGAAGGAUCAUUUAAUGAAUUUGCAAGUGGGCUUGAUGCUGGUGAAAUACCCUUUCACAUGUGCUCAGCUCCGUCAAAUCCACCAUACACCUGUGCACCUUCAAAGCUCUGUAGUCCUCCGUCAUGGGAGCCGUGAAUUGACCUUGGUUGAAUCACUGGGGCUACACCUUUGCCCUUUCAUAACAAACCAAUCAUAACAGUCUUGUAGAAUGUCUAAUGAGCCUUAUGGGCUUAAACUAUACAACUUUUAACAACGGAUCUCUUGGCUCUC